rnacentral:rRNA from 1 species
GACGAACGCUGGCGGCGUGCUUAACACAUGCAAGUCGAACGGGCCCGCCCCUGUUUUUGGGGGUGGGUUGAGUGGCGAACGGGUGAGUAUCACGUGAGUAACCUGCCCCCUGCUCCUGGAUAACUGCUUGAAAGGGCGGCUAAUACGGGGUGUGCCGGCUGGUCCGCAUGGGCCUGGUCGGGAUAGUUUCAUCUUCGGGUGUUUCGGUGGGGGAUGGGCUCGCGGCCUAUCAGCUUGUUGGUGGGGUGAUGGCCCACCAAGGCGGUGACGGGUAGCCGGCCUGAGAGGGUGGGCGGCCACACUGGGACUGAGACACGGCCCAGACUCCUGCGGGAGGCAGCAGUGGGGGGUAGUGCACAAUGGGCGGAAGCCUGAUGCAGCGACGUCGCGUGAGGGAUGGAGGCCUUCGGGUUGUGAACCUCUUUCUCCGGUGGUGAAGGCCCUGUCCGUUGCGGCGGGGUUGACGGUAGCCGGGUAUGAAGCGCCGGCUAACUACGUG